rnacentral:lncRNA from 1 species
CAAAAGCAAAAGCACUGGCUGAAAAAUUUUAAAAAGUAAACGAGAGAGAAAGAAAACAGAACUAAGAUAAGGAAGGAAGAGUUGCGGUUUAUUCUGACUUCGAAGGUUCAACCACAUUGGGACGGAACACAGGCCAAAGGAGUCUAAUUGAUGGAUAUACAGUUUCCAAGUUUCCAAUGGACCUCACGACCUCUGAGGAUGCCUGGCAUAGAUGUGGGCAAAACGUCAGGAGAGAAUGCUUCUGGAACAUGGCCAAACUCACAGCAACCCAAUGUAGACUACGGUAGUUUGUGGCACUUUCAAAUUUCCAUGAAACACAGAGACAAAUCCAUUUCGCAAAAGAAGAAACCUGCGAUAGAAAGACAUGAUAAGGACAGAAAUAUUUCUUUCUCUCUCAUCCAAGACCUUCAACAAUAGGGUUUUUUUUAAGUAUAUUGUUCCACUUUCAAUAAAGUUCUUCUUUUCUACUUUGCAAGAUGUCUCUUUGAUAUUACGAGGGUUGAAUGAAAAGUAAUGCCUCCACCUUCGUAACUCUUCAACAGACUGGCUUGUUCAGACGUGCAGUCACUGAAUUCUUUUUUUUUUUUUUUGGUGAAUUUUUUUAUUUUAUUUUACAGCAAAGCAUAAUACAUUCAAAGUGGUGGAACAAUAUAUCGAUAGAAAAGUGGGAAAAUACCAAGAGGAGGAAUAAUCAUAAAAAUAGAGACAAAAAAAAACAGAGAAGAGGGGAAAAAAUCACUUAGACUUCCCAUCUUGGCUUCGGAGUUGUCUCUUUCGUUAAUUGUGUCUUUGUGUAUUCCUGAUAACUUUUUCCCGUUUGGUCCGCUCU